rnacentral:rRNA from 2 species
UGUUUGAUCCUGGCUCAGGAUGAACGCUAGCGGCAGGCUUAACACAUGCAAGUCGAGGGGUAUAGUUUUUCGGAACUAGAGACCGGCGCACGGGUGCGUAACGCGUAUGCAAUCUACCUUUUGCAGAGGGAUAGCCCAGAGAAAUUUGGAUUAAUACCUCAUAGUAUAGCGACAUCGCAUGAUGAUGCUAUUAAAGUCACAACGGCAAAAGAUGAGCAUGCGUCCCAUUAGCUAGUUGGUAAGGUAACGGCUUACCAAGGCAACGAUGGGUAGGGGUCCUGAGAGGGAGAUCCCCCACACUGGUACUGAGACACGGACCAGACUCCUACGGGAGGCAGCAGUGAGGAAUAUUGGACAAUGGGCGCAAGCCUGAUCCAGCCAUGCCGCGUGCAGGAUGACGGUCCUAUGGAUUGUAAACUGCUUUUGUACGAGAAGAAACACUACUUCGUGAAGUAGCUUGACGGUAUCGUAAGAAUAAGGAUCGGCUAACUCCGUGCCAGCAGCCGCGGUAAUACGGAGGAUCCAAGCGUUAUCCGGAAUCAUUGGGUUUAAAGGGUCCGUAGGCGGUUUAGUAAGUCAGUGGUGAAAGCCCAUCGCUCAACGGUGGAACGGCCAUUGAUACUGCUAGACUUGAAUUAUUAGGAAGUAACUAGAAUAUGUAGUGUAGCGGUGAAAUGCUUAGAGAUUACAUGGAAUACCAAUUGCGAAGGCAGGUUACUACUAAUUGAUUGACGCUGAUGGACGAAAGCGUGGGUAGCGAACAGGAUUAGAUACCCUGGUAGUCCA